rnacentral:lncRNA from 1 species
GGCCGCGCGGGCCCCGGUGGGGCGGCCACCCGGGGUCCCGGCCCUCGCGCGUCCUUCCUCCACCACCACCACCUCCACAGACAGCUUAUUCACCUCCGACUAAUCAAGCCUUUCCUCCACCUCCUCCUCCUCCACCACCGCCACCUGAAGAACUUCCGCCUCCUCCAUCUCCUGUUAGUUCCACUUAUGCUACUCAAUCUAGUUAUGCUACAUAUAGGCCACAAUCAUCUGCUAGCACAUAUGAUAUAAAUUCCAUCUAUGAACCAAUCACGCCUAGACCACCAAGCCAGAUGUCCACUCGAUCCAUCUAUAGCACAGGAAGUGGUGGCUCCUCUUUAUAUUCUUCAUACUACCCGGCAGCUGGAAGAGGCCGUGGUGGUAGUAACGUGCCAAACCAAUCCCAUGGAAUGACAGGCAAGGAAGCAGAAGUGGAUCACUUGACUGAUCUUUUGGUGCAGAGCAUGGAAAACUCCAGUGAUCCAGACUUUUUUGGUGAGUAUUGUUCUUGAUCUUUUAACUUGCUUGGCAACAGCACACAUUACCUUUUGGCCAUUAAUUUUCCUUAUAAAUUUUCUUUAUUUUAAAAAUAUUCUAAAGCUAAAAAUUUAACAGUUAAUUAGAAAUAAAUGCACUUGAUGCAUCAUCAGUGACCAAAGAGUUAAUAUUAUAUUGAGUGAAAAUACGUGAUUCUUCUAUAAAUUGAUUGUGACUUGUUACCUUGGUUCUGUUCUUAUUUAUAAUAACCAUACUCAUAAAAAUUUUAAUAUUAUAUUGAGUGAAAAU